ACUUUGUUGCAUGUUGUUUUGUGGAACAUGUUAGCCCAUUCAAAGAACUCAAACACGGUUGACCCUGCACAUUAUUUGAAGCGAUUUCUGUUCAAACCACUUAACUAAAUGUCCACUUCAUAUCUGUAAAAUUAGCUGCCUGGUUGUCUGUUAAUUACUAUGUUAUCCAUUCGUGCUAGUGAUAAGUUACGAGAAUAGGAGUAAUUUGAACGACGGUUGUUUCAUGUGACGUUUUGCAGAAUUCAAAAUUCAGUGAGAAGUAAACAAAACACUUCAAACGAGGAUAUCGUUUUUAAUUUCGUAAACGCUUAGCAUAUGCUGUAGGAUAUUUUAUUCUGGACGCGGUACAUUCGAAUGAGGAGCUCACAGACACCGCCGCAUUCACGCUAGAGAGCGCGCAAUCCGGUCAGAGUACAAACGGAUGGAAAAGAACGCUACAUCUUCAGACGGGUUAUUUUACAAUAACUCUUUUUAACUUGACACGGCGAUUUUGAAAGCAACUAUGAGUGCUAAACUGUAGUCAAGCCGUAGCAUUAUUUGUUAGAAAUACCUGGUUGCGACGAAAAUAGUAUGCGUGCUUAGUAUGAUAAUUACGGUAAUGUGCAGGCAGUAACAAACAACACGCAUUCUGAGAUUGUCAACGAGUCUUUAGCAGACCCAUCACCCCCACCUCCUCAAGCAGAGUAUAUAUAACAUUGAAACUUAUUUAAAUAAUACCAGCUGAUGACUGCUGUGCAGUGGAAAUAUCGAUCAUCUUGAUAAAACCUCAGUAUAUCAUCAGGAGCAACAGGUAUUAAUUUUGUGCUCCUUGAUAUGUUUUUUCCCUCCAAAAAUGGACAGUCUCUGACUUAAAUUUUAUCAAUCACCAAAGGCCACAUUUUCAGCUAAAAAUCUUCUUUGCUAUUCUGCUGAAGAAAAAUACUCAUGAACAUCUUGGGUGGCGUAAGGAUCUUUGCAGGAUUCAGUCGCAUAUCUCGGAUCUGAGUUCUGCGCAGCACUGGACACAGACUCUGCACUUUUGACAUUUUCUAGAAAAAAGGAUUUUAAAUUUCACAUCAAGUUAAUUAAAAGUCAUCUGAUGUUUCCACUGCAGUACUUCAGGGCCUUUCAGUCAUCCUGGAGGAUGACCCACAGGAAUUUUACAGGAUGUGUUUCGUAAGUAUUACUGGAUUUUCUGCUCUCAUCAUUUUGUUUUAUUCAAUAUGAAUAUAGUUCUGGUUAUGAAAAAUUGUCAAAGGUUCUGUGUAUUUUUUUUUUU